UGAUGGCCCAGAAUCCAUAACUAGCUGCAGUGUUGCCAGACAAGACCUGGGGAAGCUUCUCCAUCUGCCUGCAGUGGCAAUCAGACCUGUACUGAUGAAAUCAGGGAAGGCUGGGAUUCAGAUAGUCAGAGAGAUGAGAUCCAGUGGGCAGAGUCCGGGGCACUUUCGGUAAAGAGGUCCUGCCCUGGGCUCCUCUGUGGCAUUGCCCUGCACUGAACAGCUGUUGUUUUAGGACAGGCUGCAUUUCCAUGAGUACAAGAUGGUCUUUGCAGGUGGCUGGUACAUGAAUUUUAAGCUUGUUGAGUGCUUUGAGAUAUGAAGCUAAAAAUACAUGUGGGAGGUGUGUGUGUGUGUGUGUGUGUGUGUGUGUGUGUGUGUGUGUUUGAGAGAGAGAUUAUUCUUUGUACAAAGAAAAAGUGACAAGGGGUUAUAUGCCGCUGAUGUUCCUGCAUCAUCAUCAUCAAAUGCUGUUUAUUAAGCUUCCUCCACAUUGCUGAUGUUAAGGGCUUGCAGAUUCUCCCGGGUUUCUCUUUUCUUCCUCUCCCUGUACUCAGCUUCCAACAUCAUUCUACCCUUCCAGCUCUUACCUUAGCAGUUUUGUACUAGUUUCUGUACUAAGACUUGACUACUCAAUGUUAUGAAGAAGAACAGGAAUGCUGUGGCCAAAGAGGGAUGGCCCAAUAUGCAAAAGCACACACCCUCACACCUUCUCAAAGAACAGGACAGAGCAUCACUUGAGCCUCUCUAAGGAAGCCCUGAAAUGAUGUAUCAUUUGGACCAGUUUGGACCAACAUGGGACAGACAACAUGGACCGUGUUAGUUCCAGAACUCCUUAUGGGUCAUCUGAGUUUGUCACUAACCCUACAUUAAUCUCAACUUCUCCCUCUGCCCAGUCCUGCUUCUGUUUCCUUCCUGACACAGCUGUUGACCCAAGGGCCCUCCAUAAUAAAUACUUAUCCUGCCUACUAUCCACCUCGCUGUCUGCUUACUGGAGAACCCAAUCUGCAAUGGUUCGUGCUAGAAGUGAUUUGAGAAAGAGAAGAUGACUGGGUAUGGUGGCUCACACCUGUAAUCACAGCACUUUGGGAGGCGAAGUUGGGAAGAUCACUUGAAGCCAGGAGUUUAAGAACAGCCUGGCCA